rnacentral:rRNA from 1 species
AGAGUUUGAUCAUGGCUCAGAAUCAACGCUGGCGGCGUGCCUAACACAUGCAAGUCGAACGAGAAAGGGUAGCAAUACCUGAGUAAAGUGGCGCACGGGUGAGUAACACGUGACUAACCUACCCUGGAGUGGGGGAUAACUGAGGGAAACCUUAGCUAAUACCGCAUAACACCUACGGGUCAAAGGAGCAAUUCGCUUCAGGAGGGGGUCGCGGCCGAUUAGUUAGUUGGCGGGGUAAUGGCCCACCAAGACUGUGAUCGGUAUCCGGCCUGAGAGGGCGCACGGACACACUGGAACUGAAACACGGUCCAGACUCCUACGGGAGGCAGCAGUGGGGAAUUUUGCGCAAUGGGGGAAACCCUGACGCAGCAACGCCGCGUGGAGGAUGAAGUACUUCGGUACGUAAACUCCUUUCGAUCGGGACGAUUAUGACGGUACCGGAAGAAGAAGCCCCGGCUAACUUCGUGCCAGCAGCCGCGGUAAUACGAGGGGGGCAAGCGUUGUUCGGAAUUAUUGGGCGUAAAGGGUGCGUAGGCGGUUUUGUAAGUCUUGUGUGAAAUCUUCAGGCUCAACUUGAAGACUGCACGANNNNUGCAGGGCUUGAGUGUGGGAGAGGUGAGUGGAAUUCCUGGUGUAGCGGUGAAAUGCGUAGAUAUCAGGAGGAACACCUGUGGCGAAAGCGGCUCACUGGACCACAACUGACGCUGAUGCACGAAAGCUAGGGGAGCAAACAGGAUUAGAUACCCUCGUAGUCC